GGGCGGGUAGUCUAGCGGUUAUGACUCCCUGAUGGAAGUUUUUCAGGGGCAAGAAGCCGCCCUCACACGGCGGAGGCCCCAGGUUCAAAUCCUGGCCCGCCCACCA
rnacentral:tRNA from 1 species